CAAGCGUUGACAGAUCACUUGGGAGACUAGUGAAUGAUGAGCAGAAACCCAAUGCAAAGAUGAAAAAGAAGUGGAUGGUAUGCCCCAUCUUUUGGCCAUUAUGGAUGGAAGGGAAUUUCGAGAGAUUACUUAUGACUAUGGAGGUGUUGACUUGCCAUGACAUUCCUGCCAUGGACAGGAAAUGCCCAAGCCCAUGGCUCCAGCUACAGUCCAGGACCAAGUCAUCUCUCCCGCUGCCCCUCCUGAAGAGUGGAUAACAGAGGUAAAUGCACAUCUGCAAGAACACCAUGGAUGAAAGCUGAGGUCAACGCUGUGAUGUGACGCUUCAAUCUCAUAUCAUGAAGGGUCACUUGGCAUCUAGAGGGAAUGUGAGGUGUGCAAAAAGUGUG